GGAGAGGUGUCCGAGUGGCUGAAGGAGCACGCCUGGAAAGUGUGUAUACGGUCAAAAGCCGUAUCGAGGGUUCGAAUCCCUCCCUCUCCGCCA
rnacentral:tRNA from 1 species